GGGGGAUAUUGCACAAUGGAGGAAACUCUGAUGCAGCAACGCCGCGUGAGGGAAGAAGGUCUUCGGAUUGUAAACCUUUGUCCUUGGUGACGAAACAAAUGACGGUAGCCAAGGAGGAAGCUCCGGCGAACUACGUGCCAGCAGCCGCGGUAAUACGUAGGGAGCAAGCGUUGUCCGGAUUUACUGGGUGUAAAGGGUGCGUAGGCGGCUCUGCAAGUCAGGCGUGAAAACUAUGGGCUUAACCCAUAGACUGCGUUUGAAACUGUGGGGCUUGAGUGAAGUAGAUGUAGGCGGAAUUCCUGGUGUAGCGGUGAAAUGCGUCGAGAUCGGGAGGAACACCAGUGGCGAAGGCGGCCUACUGGGCUUUAACUGACGCUGAAGCACGAAAGCAUGGGGAGCAAAC
rnacentral:rRNA from 1 species